UACGUAGGGGGCAAGCGUUGUCCGGAAUCACUGGGCGUAAAGCGCGCGCAGGCGGUCAUCUACGGCUGGGGGGAAAGCCCGGAGCUCAACUCCGGGAUUGCCUUGGAUACGGGAUGACUUGAGGAUCGGAGAGGCAAGGGGAAUUCCACGUGUAGCGGUGAAAUGCGUAGAGAUGUGGAGGAACACCUGUGGCGAAGGCGCCUUGCUGGCCGAUUUCUGACGCUGAGGCGCGAAAGCGUGGGGAGCAAACAGG
rnacentral:rRNA from 1 species